GAUAAGAUAAGCUAACUAUAAGCUAGUGGGUUCAUACCCCAAAAAUGAUUAUUCUCUUAUUA
rnacentral:tRNA from 1 species